rnacentral:tRNA from 1 species
GACUUUGAAGUAUGUAUUACGUUGAAUUGCAAAUUCAAAAAAGUAGUUAGGAAAACUGCCAAGGUCU